UACGUAGGGACCAAGCGUUGUUCGGAUUUACUGGGCGUAAAGGGCGCGUAGGCGGCGAAUCAAGUCAGCUGUGAAAUCUCCGAGCUUAACUCGGAACGGUCAGCUGAUACUGUUUUGCUAGAGUGCAGAAAGGGCAACCGGAAUUCUUGGUGUAGCGGUGAAAUGCGUAGAUAUCAAGAGGAACACCAGUGGCGAAAGCGGCUACCUGGCCCAUUCUUGACGCUGAGGCGCGAAAGCUAGGGGAGCAAACGGG
rnacentral:rRNA from 1 species